CCGGCUCCCGACCGCUCCCUGCCCUGCCGGCUCCCCGCAGCCCCUGCCCUGCCGGCUCCCUGCCCUGCCGGCUCCCUCGGCCGCCCGUCCCGCACACGUGCUGCCCCAGGGAAUGAAUACUGUGUACCCAGACAGCAAUAAACAUUUAGCUGCAGACCACUGACAGAAAUCUAUAGACCACCAGUUUGGGAAACCUCAGCUUCGAACUCUAAAUGAUUCAACAUUUGUGUAAGUCAGACACGUUCUGCUAUUAUGUAACUAAAUAAUUUUAUAUCCAUGGUCAUUGUAAUGCUAAGAGGUUCAGACAGUGUAUGAACUGUUUACUCUUGCAAAUUGUCUCUCUAGUAAUUAGGUGAUAAAAUUGAAAGUGCUU
rnacentral:lncRNA from 1 species